AAACUUUGGCUUCACUCAUCACUACACAAUCCUUCAGUUUCUUCUUAAACGAACGAUACAUAUUGUAUAUAUAGAUUUCAAACUAAUUAAUUACUACAUUUCAGACUCCAGUUAACAAAGGAUCAACAUUUAAAUAACUACAUUGUUCUUUUGGAUCGGAUUAAGGGAAUAUAGAAAAGAUGCAACAUCAUUCGGAAGUGAAGCAGCCUCUUUGCCCUAAGCCACGCCGUGUGUGUCAUUCUCUUCCUGAUUUCAUCAAACCUCUCUCGUGUUCCUUACACUCCUCCACCUGCCAACAAAGUAAGGAGGGAAGAAGCGACGUUCUCAGCAUUAUCGAUAAGCCGAUAGAAGGUGGAACCAUAGAGUCAAUGUGGUACGUAGGGUCUCCACCAAGGAGAACCGGAAAUCCUCUUGUACACGACCUUCAUUUCAUUCACUGCCUCCAUCUUCUCCCCAAUUUCUCAAGAACGAAGGCUUGAUCAUCACAUCUUCUUAGACUAGCUACGUACCUCGUCUAUA